rnacentral:rRNA from 1 species
UACGUAGGGUGCAAGCGUUGUCCGGAAUUAUUGGGCGUAAAGAGCUCGUAGGCGGUCUGUCGCGUCUGCUGUGAAAACUCGGGGCUUAACCCGGCUGCAGUGGGUGACGGGCAGACUAGAGUGCGGUAGGGGAGACUGGAAUUCCUGGUGUAGCGGUGAAAUGCGCAGAUAUCAGGAGGAACACCGGUGGCGAAGGCGGGUCUCUGGGCCGUAACUGACGCUGAGGAGCGAAAGCGUGGGGAGCGAACAGG